rnacentral:lncRNA from 10 species
GCAGUUUGAUCUCAGACUGCCCUGCUAGCAAUCAGCGAGACUCCGUGGGUGUAGGACCCUCCAAGCCAGGUGCCGGAGAUAAUCUCGUGGUGCGCCGUUUUUUAAGCCCGUUGGAGAAGCGCAGUAUUCGGGUGGGAGUGACCCGAUUUUCCAGGUGCUGUCUGUCACCCCUUUCUUUGACUUGGAAAGGGAACUCCCUGACCCCUUGCGCUUCCCAAGUGAGGCAAUGCCUCGCCCUGCUUCGGCUCGCGCACAGUGCGCGCACCCACUGACCUGAGCCCACUCUCUGGCACUCCCUAGUGAGAUGAACCUGGUACCUCAGAUGGAAAUGCAGAAAUCACCUGUCUUCUGCCUCGCUCACACUGGGAGCUGUAGACCGGAGCUGUUCCUGUUCGGCCAUCUUGGCUCCUCCCGGAAGGAGAACAGUAGCUUCCCUGGAAGAUGCCCUCCACUGGUGCCCAGUGCCUUUUGCAUGUAUAUCACCAGGCAAGACAAUAUAAACACCACAGUCUCCCACCUCAAAGAAGAAUGAAAAGAGGGAUUAUUUUAAUUCCUGCUGUCAUCCCUAAAAUUGGGGUCAUAUUUAUAGAGAAGAGAAAAAUCAAUAUAAGAUGAGAAAGAAGAAAACUGCAGAGAGAUCAUCUCUUCUGCCUCAAGCCAAUUACUGAAGAUGGUAAGAUGGGAGAGUGGCAGAGCCAGAAAAAGAAGCCGCCUUGACUCUGCCAAGCACUCACUCCUGCUGCCAACUCCAACUCUUUGUCUGCAGACAGUCUGUGCAGCCGACUAGGACCUGCCUCAAGCACCGCAUCUGCCCGGGGCUCUUUCCCAGUAUAGUUUCCUGCUCUCCAGCCCACCCCGGAGGAUGUCACUUUCAGAUCCCUCUCCCAGUCCUCCGCGACAGCUUCCUGUCAGUUGACUCUCCCCCACAAGUCUUUUUUGACAAAUCUCAGAGAUGCAACAGCUGGUCACCCUUCAAGACUUCCACAUGUCUCUGCUGCCACUUACACAGAUUUCUUUCUUCCUUAUUGAUUUUUUUUUU